AGUGAACGCUGGCGGUAGGCCUAACACAUGCAAGUCGAACGGCAGCACAGUAAGAGCUUGCUCUUACGGGUGGCGAGUGGCGGACGGGUGAGGAAUACAUCGGAAUCUACUUUUUCGUGGGGGAUAACGUAGGGAAACUUACGCUAAUACCGCAUACGACCUACGGGUGAAAGCAGGGGAUCUUCGGACCUUGCGCGAUUGAAUGAGCCGAUGUCGGAUUAGCUAGUUGGCGGGGUAAAGGCCCACCAAGGCGACGAUCCGUAGCUAGUCUGAGAGGAUGAUCAGCCACACUGGAACUGAGACACGGUCCAGACUCCUACGGGAGGCGGCAGUGGGGAAUAUUGGACAAUGGGCGCAAGCCUGAUCCAGCCAUACCGCGUGGGUGAAGAAGGCCUUCGGGUUGUAAAGCCCUUUUGUUGGGAAAGAAAAGCAGCAGGUUAAUACCCCGCUGUUCUGACGGUACCCAAAGAAUAAGCACCGGCUAACUUCGUG
rnacentral:rRNA from 1 species